rnacentral:tRNA from 1 species
CGGGGUGUAGCUCAGUGGUAGAGCGCGCGCUUUGGGAGCGUGAGGUCGCAUGUUCAAUCCAUGUCACCCCGACCA